rnacentral:rRNA from 1 species
AGCGGUACCAAAUCGAGGCAAACUCUGAAUACUAAACUGGUACUCGGCCAGUCAGACGGUGGGGGAUAAGCUUCAUCGUCAAGAGGGAAACAGCCCAGACCACCAGCUAAGGUCCCAAAAUGACUGCUAAGUGAUAAAGGAGGUGGGAGUGCAUAGACAAUCAGGAGGUUUGCUUAGAAGCAGCAAUCCUUUAAAGAGUGCGUAAUAGCUCACUGUUCGAGUGCUCCUGCGCCGAAAAUGAAUGGGACUAAGUAAUUUGCCGAAGCUGUAAGAUGUUUAAACAUCGGUAGGGGAGCGUUCUACAUUAGGUUGAAGCGUUAGCGAAAGCGGGCGUGGACAAAGUAGAAGUGAGAAUGUUAGCUUGAGUAGCGAAAACAUUGGUGAGAAUCCAAUGCCCCGAAAACCCAAGGGUUCCUCCGGAAGGCUCGUCCACGGAGGGUGAGUCAGGUCCUAAGGUGAGGCUAAUAGCGUAAUCGAUGGAUAACAGGUUAAUAUUCCUGUACUGUUUAUUGUUGGUAAAGGGGGACGGAGAAGGCUAGAUCGACCGAAUGUUGGUUAUCGGCUUAAGUAUUCGAGGUGAUGAGGUCCGGUGAAAACGGUCUGAGCUAAGAUGCGAAUAGGAAAGUGUUAAGACACUGAACCGAUUAAUGUCAUACUUCCAAGAAAAGCCCUAACUACCAUAAGCAAUAAAUACCUGUACCCGAAACCGACACAGGUGGGUAAGUAGAGAAUACUAAGGGGCGCGAGAUAACUCUCUCUAAGGAACUCGGCAAAAUGACCUCGUAACUUCGGGAGAAGAGGUGCCCUUAAACGGGCUGCAAGAACCAGACGCUGGCGACUGUUUAUCAAAAACACAGGUCUCCGCAAAGUCGUAAGACGAUAUAUGGGGGCUGACACCUGCCCAGUGCCGGAAGGUUAAGGAAGCUUGUUAGUCUUUGACGAAGCUCGCGACCGAAGCCCCGGUGAACGGCGGCCGUAACAAUAACGGUCCUAAGGUAGCGAAAUUCCUUGUCGGGUAAGUUCCGACCUGCACGAAUGGAGUAACGAUAGCCCCACUGUCUCCUUCCGAGGCUCAGUGAAAUUGAAAUCGCUGUGACGAUGCAGUGUUCCCGCGGCAAGACGGAAAGACCCCGUGAACCUUCACUACAACUUUACAUUGGACUUUGAAAUUGCUUGUGUAGGAUAGGUGGGAGGCAUUGAAGUC